CCCGCAGCCCGCGCCCUGCGUCCUCUUCGCCGCCCGGCACGCCAGCGCCGCCACGAACCUCAAGGACGUCCUGGCCGAGCUGAUCCCCAAGGAGCAGGCCAAGAUCAAGAGCUUCCGGCAGCAGCACGGCAGCACGGCCAUCGGGAACAUCACGGUGGACAUGGUGUACGGCGGCAUGCGGGGCAUGAAGGGGCUCAUCUACGAGACCUCGGUGCUGGACCC